rnacentral:tRNA from 2 species
GGUUGCGUAGUGUAGUGGUUAGCACUCUGGAUUUUGAUUCCUGUGAUGAAUGUGUUUCAAAAUUUUCCAGCAACCUGGGUUCGACUCCCGGCGCGACCU